rnacentral:rRNA from 1 species
UACGUAGGUGGCAAGCGUUGUCCGGAUUUAUUGGGCGUAAAGCGAGCGCAGGCGGAAAAAUAAGUCUAAUGUGAAAGCCCUCGGCUUAACCGAGGAACUGCAUCGGAAACUGUUUUUCUUGAGUGCAGAAGAGGAGAGUGGAACUCCAUGUGUAGCGGUGGAAUGCGUAGAUAUAUGGAAGAACACCAGUGGCGAAGGCGGCCCUCUGGUCUGCAACUGACGCUGAGGCUCGAAAGCAUGGGUAGCGAACAGGAUUAGAUACCCUGGUAGUCCAUGCCGUAAACGAUGAGUGCUAAGUGUUGGGAGGUUUCCGCCUCUCAGUGCUGCAGCUAACGCAUUAAGCACUCCGCCUGGGGAGUACGACCGCAAGGUUGAAACUCAAAGGAAUUGACGGGGGCCCGCACAAGCGGUGGAGCAUGUGGUUUAAUUCGAUGCAACGCGAAGAACCUUACCAGGUCUUGACAUCUAGUGCAAUCUGUAGAGAUACGGAGUUCCCUUCGGGGACGCUAAGACAGGUGGUGCAUGGCUGUCGUCAGCUCGUGUCGUGAGAUGUUGGGUUAAGUCCCGCAACGAGCGCAACCCUUGUUAUUAGUUGCCAGCAUUAAGUUGGGCACUCUAAUGAGACUGCCGGUGACAAACCGGAGGAAGGUGGGGAUGACGUCAAGUCAUCAUGCCCCUUAUGACCUGGGCUACACACGUGCUACAAUGGGCAGUACAACGAGAAGCAAGCCUGCGAAGGCAAGCGAAUCUCUGAAAGCUGUUCUCAGUUCGGACUGCAGUCUGCAACUCGACUGCACGAAGCUGGAAUCGCUAGUAAUCGC